CCUACGGGAGGCAGCAGUGGGGAAUAUUGCGCAAUGGGCGAAAGCCUGACGCAGCGACGCCGCGUGAGGGAUGAAGGUCUUCGGAUCGUAAACCUCUGUCAGCAGGGAAGAACGGUCACUGUGCUAAUCAGCAGUGAAUUGACGGUACCUGCAAAGGAAGCACCGGCUAACUCCGUGCCAGCAGCCGCGGUAAUACGGAGGGUGCGAGCGUUAAUCGGAAUUACUGGGCGUAAAGCGCUCGUAGGCGGGAUGUCAAGUCAAGGGUGAAAUCCCCGCGCUCAACGUGGGAACUGCAUUUGAAACUGGCAGACUGGAGUGUGUGAGAGGAUAGUGGAAUUCAAGGUGUAGGAGUGAAAUCCGUAGAUAUCUGGAGGAACAUCAGUGGCGAAGGCGACUAUCUGGCACAUAACUGACGCUGAGGUGCGAAAGCGUGGGUAGCAAACAGGAUUAGAUACCCGAGUAGUC
rnacentral:rRNA from 1 species